AUUGAACGCUGGCGGCGUGCUUAACACAUGCAAGUCGAUCGGUAACAGGUGUAGCAAUACAUGCUGACGAGAGGCGGACGGGUGAGUAAUGCUUGGGAAUCUGCCUAUUAGUGGGGGACAACCCGGGGAAACUCGGGCUAAUACCGCAUACGCUCUACGGAGGAAAGCCGGGGACCGCAAGGCCUGGCGCUAAUAGAUGAGCCCAAGUCGGAUUAGCUAGUUGGUAGGGUAACGGCCUACCAAGGCGACAAUCCGUAGCUGGUCUGAGAGGACGACCAGCCACACCGGAACUGAGACACGGUCCGGACUCCUACGGGAGGCAGCAGUGGGGAAUAUUGGACAAUGGGGGCAACCCUGAUCCAGCGACGCCGCGUGGGUGAAGAAGGCCUGCGGGUUGUAAAGCCCUUUCGGUGGGGAAGAAAAGUCUCGACCUAAUACGUCGGGACCUUGACCGUAACCCACUAAAGAAGCACCGGCUAACUCUGUGCCAGCAGCCGC
rnacentral:rRNA from 1 species